rfam:Picea glauca, whole genome shotgun sequence.
ACAUGCCUACAACAUAGCGUUAAUGUACCAGAUCUCAUUAGAACUCCGUAGUUAAGCACGCUCAGGCUAGAGUAGUACUUGGAUGGGUGACCGCCCGAGAAGUCCUAGUGUUUUACAUGCC